UCUGAGUCUCCCUCUCUCUCUACCCCUCCCCCACUCGCACUCUGUCUCUCACUUUCAAAAAUAAAUAAACAUUAAAAAAUUUUUAAAAAUAAACAAAAUAACUCACUUUUAACUUGAUUUCACUUCAUUACCCAAUUUUUAUGAGAACGCGGAGUUUGGUAGGAAUUGUCACUAGAUUCGUUUUCUUAACAUUGUACAAAAGCUACAUCAGAAGGAGGUAGUCAUGGAAUUUCAUCUUGGAAAACCCAUUUGAAGGCAUUCUGUUCACACACAAAGUUCAUAGACUGAAUUAGGCCAACGGGAACUGGCCAACCCCAGGGCGUGCGGGAGAACAGUGUCGCCGACUCUCUGAGGUGUCGCCAGGACAGAGGUUCUGACGGUUUUACACCUGAGCCCACAGGUGGAGGCAGGUGAUGGAGGGCGUCCUUGCCCGGAGAAAGGGGGCCCCAUGAUGCUUCUGAGGACACCUGGCUGGGAGAAAGGGCCAGGGCGGAGGCGGAGGUGGGGUCCGGAAGCAUUUUAUAGUUUGUGAAGCUUCUCCAUCUGAUAGCCAGUCAUUUGCAAAAUCUGGGAUUGGACCUGGAGACCCAUCAGCCUGGAAGAAGGGCUUCGAGCGGGGAAUGGACGACUCAGCGUUUGGAAGGAUGUCUUUUCCAGGUACCUAGUAGCUCCCUGGUGUUGACCUUAUUAGGUUAAGCUGUGUAAAAUUACCAGCACGCAGCUGGUUUUGAUCUGUGAGAAGGGCAACUUCAUACGGUCCAGCCAAAUAUGUGUUUCAAAGGAAGGAUUGAACACACAUGCCAACCCUACCUCCCGCCCCCUUCCUCCCUGCCUUCUUCCUGUCUUCUUUCUGACAACAGUUUGGUUAGUGCUGACUUUGUUUCAGGCCCUAAUUCAAAAUGACCUGUCAACUUGUUUCUUCCCUGUGUUCCCAGCCCAGCAUCAUUUUGGCUGCUGUUAGUAGCUUCACGGGGACUUCUGAGCACCUGGGGCCGCUGACCCAGGGUGUCUGGGGUCCGGGUUUGUUGGGACACUCCCUGGGUGAGUGACUGACUGCUCUGCCACUGGGCCCUGGGUGUGGCCCUCGGGCCAGGAGAACCUCUCCUGCUCGCUGGGAGCCUGUUGGCGUCACAUGCACACUUCACCUGAGGGUUUCAACAGAGGAUUAAUUGAUGGAGCUUAGGCAUAGGAUAGGAGGACCAAGGUCCCAGAGGAACAAGAAUUGAACGGAAGUAAAGCAAGCAACACUAGAGAGAAGUAAUGAGUUUGAGUAGGAACCAAGGUGGCUGUGCAACUGUGAGGUUGACGGGAGAAAAUCGAGGCCACAGAGGGAAGGUGGCCCUCACAGGCUUCCCAAGGAAGAUGGGGACAGGCAGGGCAGGGUGGUGGGAUGGCAGCGUGCCCUGGCAUGGGCGGACGUGAGGGUGGGCCCUCCACAGGGCGUGUGCCCGGGAGUCAGGGCAGGGAGCCCGGUGCCCAUGGACCUAGGUGCACAGCAUGCGGGACCCUUCUGUCCAGAUCAGCAUCAGUGCAGGCUAUGGGGUUCUGCAGGAAGACAUUGCAUUCCACUGUUGGCACUGACAUUGACAUCGUCACAGGAGGAAACAGCUCUUCUGUUCACUUUCUGGUCGGGUGUGGUGGGUGGAGUCCAUGCUGACCCACGUGGAAUCCGGGAGCCUGCCGGCUUCGUGGCUCUGGCACGUCCGCCGCUGACACCCUUGAUCUCAACACGCGGCUCUCUACCUGUAGACGUUAAGGGCCGUUGUCACCUGUCAUUUGAAUAGCAGUGGCACCUGCUUACAGACAGAAGCUCCGAGUUGAAUCGUGGGUAUGAGGAUUACAGUGACGCGGCUGGAUGAGGAGGGGAGGAUGCAAAUUGUCUUUUCCUUCUGCAGCACAAGAUUCCGCCAAGACAGUCUCCACGUUUAAGCCUCGGCCCUCCCGGGCGGUAAUGCCGCCCUUAUCUGACACCGGGCUUGUCCGUGGCCUCUGCUGUUCAGCCCUUGUUGCCGUGUGUUCUCGAGUGGGCCUCUCGGUGCCCUCCUGAAAACGCCUCCUUUGACCCAGACCUCAAGGCACCUUCUGGUCCUGCAUCCUGUUCCCGUCCCCCACAGCGGCCUUUCCAUAUGUGACCCUCUUCACAGAAUGCCCAGCAGCCGCCUGUCCCCCAGAAAGCACCGUGUGUCCAUGGCUCAAGUAUUUACCAGGCAUCGAGAAAACCGUAAACUUUCCUCCAAAAUCCUGAAACUUUGCUUUCGGACCUGCGCCGGAAGUGCCCUGGCACGCCGAGUCACAUUCCAGUGGUAGCGGAUCAGCCCAGGGUGGCUCAGAUGCAUUGCAAGUAGAUGAGAAAAUAUGAAAACAAAAGGCUUCCUAAGUGAAACCAUACUGGUUUUUCUUCCACUGUGAAAUAAAUAAAAUAAUGUUUUUCUUUCAUA